CGCGUAGGCGGCUUUAUAAGUCAGAUGUGAAAGCCCACGGCUUAACUGUGGAAGUGCAUUUGAAACUGUGAAGCUUGAGUAUCGGAGGGGAGUGUGGAAUUCCCGGUGUAGAGGUGAAAUUCGUAGAGAUCGGGAGGAACACCGGUGGCGAGGCGACACUCUGGACGAAUACUGACGCUGAGGCGCGAAAGCGUGGGGAGCAAACA
rnacentral:rRNA from 1 species